GGAAAUUAUAUAAUAUAGGACUAUAAUUAGUGGCGUGUUCAAAUAUUCUUUACUAUUCUCCGGUAGUCAGCUCAACAACCAACAAGCAACCAUGAAGAUCUCCGCCAUUGCCGUUAUUGCCCUCAUGGGAGUUUUGGGAGCCGCUCUGGCCGAUUACGGAUACGGUAGCGAUUACGGAAGCAGCUACGGGGGUGGCCUCGGCGGUGCCGGUUACGGUUACUCGUACAUGCCAUACUACGGCGGCGCUGGCGGUGCCGGUGGUGCCGGCGAUGGCGGCAUUUUGAUGCUGAUUGGCCUUCUCUUCGUCGUCGUCUUGUUGUUCAGCAACAACAGCUUCUUCAAUAGCACCUCGGGCUCAACUGUGACCCCCAUCACCAUCGUCCAGGGUUAAAUGAUCUUCAAUCGACCCCUGCUAUCCAUUUUCAUAUAAGCAUUUGUCCAAUCCAUUAUUUUAAAGUAUUUCCAUGUUAUAGAAUGUUGACUGAUCAAUUUGUGUACCCAACAUAUGUGCUAAU